rnacentral:pre_miRNA from 1 species
AGGAGGAACAACCGCAGUGGCGGGGCCAGCCAUGGAGCCCUGGAUUCAGCUCCCGCAGUAACUGCUCCAUCUGCAGGGCCUGGAGGCUCCGGGGCGGG